rnacentral:rRNA from 1 species
UGGGGAAUUUUGGACAAUGGGCGCAAGCCUGAUCCAGCAAUGCCGCGUGCAGGAUGAAGGCCUUCGGGUUGUAAACUGCUUUUGUACGGAACGAAACGGCUCUGGUUAAUACCUGGGGCUAAUGACGGUACCGUAAGGAUAAGCACCGGCUAACUACGUGCCAGCAGCCGCGGUAAUACGUAGGGUGCGAGCGUUAAUCGGAAUUACUGGGCGUAAAGCGUGCGCAGGCGGUGAUGUAAGACAGAUGUGAAAUCCCCGGGCUCAACCUGGGACCUGCAUUUGUGAAUGCAUCGCUGGAGUGCGGCAGAGGGGGAUGGAAUUCCGCGUGUAGCAGUGAAAGGCGUAGAUAUGCGGAGGAACACCGAUGGCGAAGGCAAUCCCCUGGGCCUGCACUGACGCUCAUGCACGAAAGCGUGGGGAGCAAACA